rnacentral:lncRNA from 1 species
GGCAGAGGAGACUUGGCACUGGCUGGGGGUCAUGGGCAGGUCAUCUUGCCAAAUGGGGCUAACAUAUACCAUUCCCUCUUUUCAAAGGAGAGAAAGUUGACUCUAGGGACCUGAAAAAUGUCUUGGGAAGCCUGGGGAUUGAACUCACAGAUGACGAGCAAGAGAAGCUGCUGAAAACACUGCCAGUUGAUGGGGGGAACGUUCAUGUAAAUAACCUGGACAAUACUCAAGAAAAUUUGGGACUCAAGCUCACAGAAGAGGAACUUGUAAAGCUGUC